rnacentral:ribozyme from 1 species
UAUAUUUAGACGUACUUUUUUAGCCAAUUUGUGCUUUUCUUUUUUACCUUUACUUUUACUUUUUCUCAUAAG